rnacentral:lncRNA from 1 species
GCCCUCAGUCCAAGAAAUGACACAAGAAUGGAAGCAGCGAGUCUGCAUGACAACUGGAAUGUUAAUCACACCCAAAGCUCUACAAAAUGAAGAAUGUUAAGCUACAAGCAAGGCUGCUGCCAGCUCUCAUCAUGACAGUGAGGCGCUGGGGAAAGGCCCUUGGCUCUGCCCUAUGCUCAGUGUCGCGCUGCACUGAGGUAGCUCCUGUGCAUGUGCAGUGGCCC